UCCCCUGCAGGUGAUGAGAACAGCAGUACCCUGAGGUCUCUGUAUUACCCCCCGGUGAGGAGUGACAGGGUGAAGGAGGGCAAGGAGAACACUGACUACAGCAGCAUCACCCUGGUCUUUCAGAGCCAAGAGGGUGGCCUGCAGGUAGUACCAGGUCAGGGGAGUUCAUCUCUGCUCCCAGCAUCCCUGGGACAGUACUGAUCAACAUAGCUGACCUGAUGCAGAGGUGGACCAGUGAUGUUUUCCUCUCAGUGGUCCAUAGGGUUUUACUGCCCCCUGCUGGAGAGUGGAGAACACUGCAGUCCCUGACUUUCUUUGCUGAACGAUGAGGCCCUCAUCACCUGUUGUUUAGGAACCAACAAAUAUCCCCCAGUGAAGGCAGGGUCCUAUUUCAUCCAACACUUCAAUUACUCUUAUAGGAGGGAGGGAGAAUUUCCCAUGUUAAGCUAUGGAACUGUACAUUUUAUGGUGAAUUUUAAUACAGAUUUACUUUAAUACAAUAAUAAUUCCUUGAAUGUAAUUAGUUUGUUUAUUGUAAUUAUGUUGGUGAGACAGAAUAAGUCAGUAAUGAGAGAAUAAAUAAGUCCAGUCCAACCAUUACCUCUCUCCUCUUUCACAUCCCUCUAUCAUCUCUCCAUGGGGGAGUACAACCAUUACCUCUCUCCUCUU